rnacentral:rRNA from 1 species
AAUUCGAUUGAGUUUGAUCAUGGCUCAGAACGAACGCUGGCGGCAGGCCUAAUACAUGCAAGUCGAACGCACUCUUCGGAGUGAGUGGCAGACGGGUGAGUAACGCGUGGGAACCUUCCCAAUGGUACGGAAUAACUGNGGGUAANNGGAGCUAAUACCGUAUAAGCCCCUCGGGGGAAAGAUUUAUCGCCAAUGGAUGGGCCCGCGUCGGAUUAGCUAGUUGGUAAGGUAAUGGCUUACCAAGGCUACGAUCCGUAGCUGGUCUGAGAGGAUGAUCAGCCACACUGGGACUGAGACACGGCCCAGACUCCUACGGGAGGCAGCAGUAGGGAAUCUUGGACAAUGGGCGAAAGCCUGAUCCAGCCAUGCCGCGUGAGUGAAGAAGGCCUUAGGGUUGUAAAGCUCUUUUG